UUAGGAAUUUUGGGCAAUGGGCGCAAGCCUGACCCAGCAACGCCGCGUGGGUGAUGACGGCCUUCGGGUUGUAAAGCCCUUUUCCCAGGGAAGAUGGUGACGGUACCUGGGGAAUCAGCCCCGGCUAACUACGUGCCAGCAGCCGCGGUAAUACGUAGGGGGCAAGCGUUGUCCGGAUUUAUUGGGCGUAAAGCGCUCGCAGGCGGUCCGAUGCGUCGUGCGUGAAAGACCCCGGCUCAACUGGGGAGGGUCGUGCGAUACGGUCGGACUCGAGGCCAGUAGGGGGACGCGGAAUUCCGGGUGUAGUGGUGGAAUGCGUAGAGAUCCGGAGGAACACCAGCGGCGAAGGCGGCGUCCUGGACUGGUACUGACGCUCAGGAGCGAAAGCGUGGGGAGCGAUCCG
rnacentral:rRNA from 1 species